rnacentral:rRNA from 1 species
UACAGAGGGUGCGAGCGUUAAUCGGAAUUACUGGGCGUAAAGCGCACGCAGGUGGCUGAGUCAGUCGAUUGUGAAAGCCCUGGGCUUAACCUGGGAAUUGCAGUCGAUACUACUCAGCUAGAGUAUGGGAGAGGGUAGUGGAAUUCCCGGUGUAGCGGUGAAAUGCGUAGAUAUCGGGAGGAACAUCAGUGGCGAAGGCGGCUACCUGGCCCAAUACUGACACUCAGGUGCGACAGCGUGGGGAGCAAACAGG